GAAGGUGGGUGGGAGUCACGAUCGCACGGGGAAGAAGAAGGGAGAAAAGAAAAGAAAAAGAAAAAGAAGAAAAGAAAAAUAAUAAAGAAAUUUUUAAUAUUAAAGUAAAAAUAAAAUAUAUAUAUAUAUAUAUAUAUAUAUAUAUAUAUAUAUAUAUAUAUAUAUAUAUAUAUAUAUAUAUAUAUAUACUUUCUUUGGGCAUUACAUUCUUCCCUCCUUAAGAAACUUUCGUCCUCGAAAGUUCUAAUCCUGAAAUAACUCUGGAUAACGAGUCCUCAUUUCUUCCUCUCGCUCCCAUGUCGCCUCUUCAAUUCGAUGAUUCCGCCACAAAACCUUUACUAAUGGAAUGCUUCUAUUACGAAGCAUCUUUACCUCUCUAGCCAGAAUCUCCACAGGUUGUUCUACAUAGCUCAAAUGCUCAUCAAUCUCCAAGGGUUCAUAGUCCACUACAUGAGAUGUAUCGGCCACAUACUUCCUCAACAUCGAAACAUGGAAAACAUUAUGAACUGCAGAGAGAGAUGGUGGUAAUGCCAAGCGAUACGCCACAACACCAACCCUCUCUAAGAUCUCAAAUGGUCCAACAAAACGAGGACUUAACUUUCCUUUCUUCUCAAAACGCAUAACACCCUUCAUAGGUGCUACCUUCAAGAAUACCUUUUCUCCCACAUCGAACUUAAGGUCUUUUCGCCGUACAUCUGCAUAACUCUUCUGUCUACUCUGCGCUGUUUGCAUACGUGCUCUAAUCUUUUGAAUAGCCUCAUUAGUAGACCGAACUAAUUCAGGUCCCAUCAAUCUAUGUUCACCAACCUCACUCCAACAAACAGGGGUUCUACAACAUUUG
rnacentral:lncRNA from 1 species